AAACAAAAAGGAUAUUGAUUUUUGGAGAGACCGUUGUAUUGGAGCAGAGCCCCUGGGUAGUCAAUUUGGAUAAUUGUUUGAGUGUUUGCAAGUUUAGAGUGAGGAUUUGUGAUGUUGGAAAUUAGGUUUUUGAAUUCUUGGCAUUGGUCCAUUUGUGAUGUUACUGUUAUUAUGCCGACUGCAGCAGUUUCAGAGCUGCAUUACAUCAACUUUUUUUUUGCAGAAUUUUUCUCCAUCAGUGGCUGUCCCGUACCAAUUUGUUUGGUAGAGUGACUCUCGCGGAUUCUCAGUUAAGUCCGUGUAUUUGAGGUUGCAUUCUUGUGCUGAGCAACUUUUUGUUCCGAGUUCAGAUUUGAAGGUUGCUUUGAAGUGUGUUUGGAAAACUAUUGGUCCCUCAAAUGUUCAGGUGUU
rnacentral:lncRNA from 1 species